GCUUCUGUAGUUCAGUUGGUUAACGUCCCAACUGACAGAUCGCCCGGUUUCCGGGCGGUCGAGGGUUCGAAUCCCUUGGAGGCA